GUGGGGAAUUUUGGACAAUGGGCGCAAGCCUGAUCCAGCAAUGCCGCGUGCAGGAAGAAGGCCUUCGGGUUGUAAACUGCUUUUGUACGGAACGAAACGGUCCUGGUUAAUACCCGGGGCUAAUGACGGUACCGUAAGAAUAAGCACCGGCUAACUACGUGCCAGCAGCCGCGGUAAUACGUAGGGUGCAAGCGUUAAUCGGAAUUACUGGGCGUAAAGCGUGCGCAGGCGGUGCUGUAAGACAGGCGUGCAAUCCCCGGGCUUAACCUGGGAAUUGCGCUUGUGACUGCAGGGCUGGAGUGCGGCAGAGGGGGAUGGAAUUCCGCGUGUAGCAGUGAAAUGCGUAGAUAUGCGGAGGAACACCGAUGGCGAAGGCAAUCCCCUGGGCCUGCACUGACGCUCAUGCACGAAAGCGUGGGGAGCAAACAGGAUUAGAAACCCUGGUAGUCC
rnacentral:rRNA from 1 species